rnacentral:rRNA from 1 species
GAUGAACGCUGGCGGCGUGCCUAAUACAUGCAAGUCGAGCGAACGGACGAGAAGCUUGCUUCUCUGAUGUUAGCGGCGGACGGGUGAGUAACACGUGGAUAACCUACCUAUAAGACUGGGAUAACUUCGGGAAACCGGAGCUAAUACCGGAUAAUAUUUUGAACCGCAUGGUUCAAAAGUGAAAGACGGUCUUGCUGUCACUUAUAGAUGGAUCCGCGCUGCAUUAGCUAGUUGGUAAGGUAACGGCUUACCAAGGCAACGAUGCAUAGCCGACCUGAGAGGGGGGUCGGCGACACGAGAGCUGAGACGCGGUCCAGACUCCUACGGGAGGCAGCAGUAGGGAAUCGUACGCAGUAGGCGAAAGCCUGACGGAGCAACGCCGCGUGAGAGAUGAAGGUCUUCGGAUCGUAAAACUCUGUUAUUGGGGAAAAACAUAUGUGUAAGUAACUGUGCACAUCGUGACGGUACCUAAUCAGAAAGCCACGGCUAACUACGUG